rnacentral:rRNA from 1 species
AUUGAACGCUGGCGGCAGGCCUAACACAUGCAAGUCGAACGAGUGGCGGACGGGUGAGUAAUGUCUGGGCAACUGCCCGAUGGAGGGGGAUAACUACUGGAAACGGUAGCUAAUACCGCUUACCAUCGUAUGUGCCCAUAGUGGAUUAGCUAGUAGGUGGGGUAACGGCUCACCUAGGCGACGAUCCCUAGCUGGUCUGAGAGGAUGACCAGCCACACUGGAACUGAGACACGGUCCAGACGCCUACGGGAGGCAGCAGUGGGGAAUAUUGCACAAUGGGCGAAAGCCUGAUGCAGCAAUGCCGCGUGUGUGAAGAAGGCCUUCGGGUUGUAAAGUACUUUCAGCGAGGAGGCGUUACUCGCAGAAGAAGCACCGGCUAACUACGUGCCAGCAGCCGCGGUAAUAC